rnacentral:tRNA from 1 species
GCGGAUGUGGCGGAAUUGGCAGACGCAGCAGACUCAAAAUCUGCCGGUGGCGACAUCGUGGGGGUUCGAGUCCCUUCAUCCGCA